GCUACUGCUCUUUGACAGCGGUGCAGGCCUGGUCCCUCAGGGGAAGAGGAGUGCUCCGCUAACCUCCAGCACAGCGGUGAGCUGAGGCUCCUCCGCCCAGUUAAUCAGCACAGUAAUUGCUAUCUCUUGGAUUAAGACCACAUCUUUACAUCUUCCGCCAGCUAUAUAGCUCUAAGACACAAAUACAUAGGCCACUGCUUGUCAUCGCUCUAGCGUGUGUGUGUUCGCAUGCACAUGUUUUACUAACCUGUGUUUAAUGUGACCUGACAUGAAUAGAAUAUUUAUUUGACUGGAUGAGCACCCUUUCCAUAGCCCUACAAUAUGCCUGAUUUUCUCAAAUCGUUUUUCAUGCCAAAACAAAAGCUAUUGUUUCACACCUGUUUGGAAUGCUUUCAGAUAUUGUUUUCCGGUAGUAGCAGAAUAAUAAAGCACUUCCACGAGCACACUGGGAGGUUUUAGGGGUGGACUGCCUGUUGUGGAUCCUUCUAGCAGACACCAGGGCCACUCCCCUGGGCUCCUUCCCUUGAGAAGACUGUCACAUGGCCUCACCGUCAUGGCUUAGGUUCACCUCGGGGAACAUUCAACGCUGUCGGUGAGUUUGAACUAAAUUUAAAAAAUAAACCAUCGACCGUUGAUUGUACCCUGCGGACCAGCCCUGUCAGCCCGACGACCUAGCCACCCGUGUACACACGACCUCGCCGGACCGCUGCCGGUCCAUCUCCGGGCAGUACCUUCGUCCUCAAAUGAUGCCCAAGAACACCCAGCUCGGUUUGAGGGUGGGGGGUGCGGUCUCCAGCAAAGGUCACAAUCAACAUUCAUUGCUGUCGGUGGGUUGGACUGUGAGGGAAAGCUCACUGAACAAUGAAUGCAACUGUGUCCCAGUCUUCAUCACAGAACCGCAACGGAAUAAAAUCUUAACCAACACAGUGCUGAGCACAGAUCUCAUGUGACACUCACGCCUAGUUCGUUUAUACUUCCACAUAAUGCACACUCAUGUGGACAACAUUCCAGACACCCUCAUCAAACACAUACCACCAGAGAUGUGUUUUGUUAAGAAAUGUGAAUAAGGAAAAUUUAAAGAUGCAUCUUUGUAAGCUAAGCAACACCCUGUUUUAUUAAUUUACCAAAGAUAUAUAAUGUAUAACGUACGUCAGAGUCUGUGUGGUAUGUAAUGUCUGCAUUUUGAUGGUGGAGAAUAAAGGUACGUUCAUGUUUCAAAGAUUCA